rnacentral:lncRNA from 1 species
GGUGAGUAUUUUAAAAUAUUGAUAAGAAUAGACAUAAUAUGGCCUUCUCAGUAAAAAGAAAGUUACUGCAUAAUUUGCAAUCACAUAAGAAUAUUUGAUUGUGGGUGCGAAAACUUUUAAAUCCGAUGCUUACUUCAGUACCAUAAUUAAAUUAAAUAUUAGAAUAAAGUUUCUUUUUAUAUAAGCGACUGUUUACACUAAUGAUAUAUUUACUUAACAAAAAUGGGAUAACGAAUUAAUCGAAAUAAAAAUAGGGGAAGUACCCUAGUUAAUCUGAUUCCUUUAGGUAUUUGAUUAUGGAUUUUAAAGAAAGCUUACAAACUUUCAAUUUCAAUGUUAGUAAACAUAUGGAAAAGUUAAACUGUAACAACCCGUCCUCAAAUAUUACGGUUUUUAUAAUUUUAAAGUAUGAAUUUAUGAAAAUGCCCUUCGAGGUAAAAAUGUUGACUUUUGUUGACCACCUUGUCAUGUCACAUAAGAUUUAUUUCCUUGGCGUAUCCUUGUAGUACUCAGCGUUUUGAACGCAUGAGCGCAAGUAGAAUCGAAAUUGGAGUUACAAUAAGCGUUAUAUAGAAUUACGAAGCCUAAGGGCAAUUAGUCAAUUCACUAUUCUAGAUAUUAGGCAAUUAGUCAAUUUUUUUGUUGACCACACUUCCCCUUCUUCCCUGUGUCCUCCCCUCUCUCAAUCUCUAGGACCUUCUCGAACCUUCUCCUUCAUAUUUCCUUGUUUUUUCCCCCCAUCUCUGCAACUCAUAUCCCCGAGCACAAACAUGCCACACCACCACCACCACCACCACCACUCCCUGUUCUGGCGAGCAACCCCAAUUCACGAACUCUCUCCCUAGCAAUCGAUGACGGACUUUUGAACCCAGGCCAAGCUGAGAAACCCCUUGUUUUCCUUUUUUCCCUCGCUGCACAGUGCCAUCACUCUGCAAAAUCGAAUCCAGCAACUUCUCACCGUCUCUUCGGCGAAGGUAAGGUCUAAAAUCUUCCUAAAAAUUGUAGAUCAUGCCUAGCAGUAUGUUUGGGUUGUUUUUGAGACAUUUUGGUGUUGUUUGGAUGUAGAAACCUCAUGGGAAAAACCUCCCCAAUUUUCCAGCAAAACUCUGUCACUCUGCAGGCCAUUUCUGGCCAGUUAAGAUCACAACUCAACCCCAGAUUGGUACAUUUCGAUUCCUUAACUCCUGAGCUUUACUUUCGCUUUUGAAUUUUUUAAUUUGGUUUAUAAAUGAAACUGUUAUAGCCUUCCAAAGUUUUCCGAUUAUCCUCACUGCGAUUCUGGUGUUCUCAUUCGCAGAGGUCGGCCGACCCAAGACCUGAAACUUGGUCGACCUAACCCAAAACCCAUAACCAGGCCCAAUCCAAUAACUUGGCCCAAACCUUUAGGCCAUAUAACCCAAACCCUUAGCCCAUUAACCUUAACUCGGAUCCAACUUAGCAACCCAAAGCCCAGAUCUGACCCGACCCGGACCUAAUCCCAGUUUCCAUGGUCGGCGCGUGGGUGCACGUGGGUGGCUGUCAUGACCGGUGCAUGGAGCACACGCUCCUCCGCUGCCAUCCACAACGGCGACGGUGAAUUUUCCGACAACUUUCCGACUACCCAUCUAGGUGUGUAGGGUGGCGCGUGGCCACCUGAGUCGCCUCCAUGGAGGAACCUGAGGUCCCUCAUUAGGUUUUUCAACUUGCUGAAUCUGAAUCUGCUGUCCAUUUUCCCAAAUUCGAUUGUUUUGGUAUAGUUUUAUUUAAUGGUCUCUAUUUGUGUUUAGGUGCAUCCAUUGGAAGUGAACUCGUCCUCCUUAGUUCGAGUGGCUACUCGGUAGCGAAAUACUUAUGAGUGGAUCCUUUCUUAAAUUGCAUGUUUUUAUAAAAUAUUAGGCUUGCAUUCACAAAAUUCAUGAUUUCAUGAUUUUACGUUUUAUGCAUUAUUUAUGAUUUAUUGAAUUAUAUUUUAUGAUACAUUAUGAAUUAUUGGAUUUUCGUAUAUGAAAUUCUAUGGAUUUACGGACAUGAAUUAUCAUGGAUUUAUAAGAUGAGGCUUUGAGGUUUUGAGAUCCGGAUUUGAUAUGAGAUUUUUUAGAUACGUUUUCGGUGCUUAUCUUGUGGGUUAUUAUACAGCAUAUACACACAACCGAGUAUGUAGACGUCUAUGGCCUAGGACACAGUUGAGGAUAUUUAUAACA